CUGACUGAGUGUGGUAACAGUAUUUCUGAACAUAUAGUACUUCAUUAGUACUUUUUAUUAUCUGCUUUGAUUCCUAGCUUCUCUUCCUAUUUUGCCAUAUGCUUUUUACACUUCAAUCCAGUAUCAUAGGCUGAAACAUCGUUCACUGCAAGGUCUUAAUACUAAACUUGUGAAGCAAAUACCACAGCAAUAAGAUCCCUAAUUCCAACAGCUCAAAAGCAGCCCCAUCCUUAUUCCUAGCUAAGCACAAGCAGGCCCUGGGAAUUCUCCAGGGCUGAAGAUAAAACUGGAGAGCAAGGCAAGAAUCACACUUCACUGACUUGAAGUUGGUAUGUGUUGGUUCUCUUCCAUAGGCCAGUCACUCCAGCCUCUUCCUUCAGCUCCUUCUCUAAUACUUUCUUUUCUAAGAAGCACCAUGAGAAUUUGGAAAUUUUGAAGCAAAUGGACUAACAGGCAUAGUGUCAUCCUUUUGAUGUUUCAAGCCCCUAUUUCCUUCCCUAAGAGUCUGUCCUCAAUUUACAUCAUACCAAUAUACUCAUCUAAAUUCAAUGAUGAAUUUAGUGAGGUGGUUUAUUGUCUUAGAUAAGCAAGGCUCCUUUUUAUAAGACAUUUCAAACAUAUACAAAAAUAGAGUUUAAUGAAUUCCAUACACCCAUCAUCCACUUCAAUGGUCAACCCAUAACCAAUCUAUGCUCCUACUCCUCUCUCACCCUAUAUUACUUUGAGGCAAAUCCAAGGCAUUUGAUUAUUUAAUCUGUAGAUAUUUUGGUGUGUGUCUCUAAAUGAUAAUACUCUUGUAAUUUUAGUACAAUAUCAUCGUUAUCCACUCAGUGUUCAAAUUUCCCUGAUUAUCUUACAAAUGAUUGUUGUUGUAGAGGGUCUCUAAGAUGAUGUACAAUGGUCAAUUGGUAUUCUUGCCCUUAUAUAAUUUCCUCCCCAUUAAGUGUGGAAUAGACUUACUAAUUUGUUUCUAAGGAGUAGACUAUAACAAAAAUGACAGGAUGUCACUUCUGAGGUUAGGUUGCAAGAAGACUUCUGGUUUCCAUCUUGGUUGCUCUCUCAUUCACUACCUGCCAGAGGUGGCUUCAAAGGUUUGUAAUCUAUGCAGUCAAGACAGAGUCCUAGGCUUAGAAGGACUUUGCACUUGGUUUAAUGCUUUGCUGUCACUGUCUUGAAAUUCUGAAUAAUUUCUGAACUAAGGGCCCUGUGUUUUUAUUUUGUAUUGGGCCCAACACAUAUAGUUGGUCCUGCCAGCCGCCAUGCUGUGAAUAUGGAGAAGCCAGAAUUGGGGGGAACUCAGGCCUGCCACCAGCCAUAUGAGUGAGCCUGGAAGCAGAUCCUCCAGCCUCAGUAGAACCUUGAGAUAACUGCAAUCUCACAAGAGACUUUGAACCAGAGCCUGCCUCAUCACAAGCUUCAACCCUGCCUGCUGGGCCUCAGAAAAAUAGAGAAAUGGAGGUGUUUAAAGACUAUCUGGGGAACUAUAAACUACUCACAAGUAAUUGUUUACCCUGAGCAUGUGGACAAGGUCUGAUACAUUGUCUUUGGAUGAACAGGCUUCAUAUCUUCCUUACCUUGGGGAACUUGCACAAGGCCAACACUUAUACCAGCAAAUACUGACUGAGCGCCUGCGGCGUGCCUGGCUCUGCGGCAUACCUGGGUACCUGCCGGUGACAGACGCAGCCCCCGCGAUGGGACCCGCUGUGGCCUCGCCCCUCACCGCCUGCAGCCCCCGGCGCCCAGGCGUCUCCCGGCAGCGGCUCACCUGGCUCCUUGGCGGGGGCGGG